rnacentral:sRNA from 1 species
UGACACUGUCCACGUCAAGACCGAUGGC